GUUUCUCAAAGUGUGAAGAUUCAAAGUGCUUCAACUUGUGUACAGACUGUCCGAUCGGAUGGGAAUUUAACGCCGAUUUUUUGAGCUGUUAUUACUUGGUUCAAGAUACACAUACUGACUAUCUAUUAGCAAACAGCACUUGUCAAACACUUGGUGGACAUCUGGCGGCCAUUUCUACUCCGGAGGAGAACUCUUGGAUAAAAACGAAGUUGUAUGCGGACUCAAUAAUGUGGCAACCCGCUUGGAUCCGUUAUGAUGAUAGGUUGUUUGGGUAUCAAAGUAAUAUAUAUAUAUGUCCAUAUUUUAAAAUUAAUUUAUCUAAA
rnacentral:lncRNA from 1 species